GUGUCAGCAGCCGCGGUAAUACGGAGGGUGCAAGCGUUAUCCGGAAUCACUGGGUUUAAAGGGUGCGUAGGCGGCCCGAUAAGUCAGCUGUGAAAUCGCUGGGCUCAACCCAUGCAAUUGCAGUUGAUACUGUCGGGCUUGAAUGGGGUUGAGGCUGGCGGAAUGCGGCAUGUAGCGGUGAAAUGCUUAGAUAUGCCGCAGAACACCGAUUGCGAAGGCAGCCAGCUGGGCCUUGAUUGACGCUGAGGCACGAAAGCGUGGGGAGCAAACAGGAUUAGAUACCCCGGUAGUCC
rnacentral:rRNA from 1 species